AACGAACGCUGGCGGCAGGCCUAACACAUGCAAGUCGAACGCCGUAGCGAUACGGAGUGGCAGACGGGUGAGUAACGCGUGGGAACAUACCCCUCGGUUCGGAAUAACUCAGGGAAACUUGAGCUAAUACCGGAUACGUCCAAGGUUUUAAUCGACCUUGGAGAAAGAUUUAUCGCCGGAGGAUUGGCCCGCGUCUGAUUAGCUUGUUGGUGAGGUAAUGGCUCACCAAGGCGACGANCAGUAGCUGGUCUGAGAGGAUGAUCAGCCACAUUGGGACUGAGACACGGCCCAAACUCCUACGGGAGGCAGCAGUGGGGAAUAUUGGACAAUGGGCGAAAGCCUGAUCCAGCCAUGCCGCGUGAGUGAUGAAGGCCUUAGGGUUGUAAAGCUCUUUACCCGGGAAGAUAAUGACGGUACCGGGAGAAUAAGCCCCGGCUAAC
rnacentral:rRNA from 1 species